ensembl:lncRNA
CACAUGGUAACCAUGGCAACAUAAUGCUGCUGCCAACAGAACACAGCUGUCAAACAAAACCCAAGCAGCCCUGACCCGCUACAAUAUCCUGAAUCAUCUGCUCCGUGGAGCAGACCCUCAGUUAAUCUGUCCUCAGACUUUCUUUAGAUUGGCUGCCCCUCACAAACAGACAGGUUUUAACAGCUGGUCUGAGGCUAAUGUGCUCACAGCACUAUAUCAGGGGUAUGCCCUCUGUCUGCCUAAAUAAUAGAUGCAGGAAGCGAAAGAUUUCAAAGACUCUGGGUGUCACGGCUUGGGGGAUCAGUGAGACGCUGAUCGGCCUUUUCUUCCUUUUCUCUCUCUCACUCUCUCUCUCUCUCCUCUCCUCUGUCGCCAGGGCGGAACUCAUUGCGGGUUCACGCCCACGGAAGGGAACACACCUGAUGCCCAUCAAGAUGAGCGGCAUUUAAGCCAGGAGAAGACUGCUGGAUCGUUGUCUACCAUGCACCUCCUGGAUUACCUUCACCAGACCUUUCCUCCAUGCCACCCGUCUACCAUGAUCUCAAACAGACCCGGCUCUCGUAAUGUCAAACCCGAUGCCCUCUCACGCCAAUUCGCCGCCUCCGAAGACGCUGCCCAGGACGCCCCCAUUCUUCCUCACACGUGUGUUGUCGGGGUCCUAACCUGGGAGAUUGAGUCAGCUAUUCGAGAGGCCCAACGGACGGAACCGGACCCUGGUACGGGUCCCCCGGGCCUACUUUUUGUUCCCUGUACUGUCAGAUCACGAGUUCUGCAUUGGGCACAUACUGCCAAGUUCACCUGCCACCCUGGGGUCCACCGCACCAUUACCUUCCUCCAACGCUUCGCCUGGUGGCCGUCUUUAGCUAAGGACGUCCGCGAAUACAUCCCCGCCUGUCCUACAUGCGCUCAAAAUAAAAACGUCAAUCAGCCAUCCUCCGGCCUUCUCCAACCUCUACCGACCCCUGGUCGUCCGUGGUCUCACAUUGCAGUUGACUUCAUCAAGGGCCUCCCUACCUCAUCAGACAUCGUCUCUGAUAGAGGGCCGCAGUUCACAUCACGGGUCUGGAAAGAAUUCUGCAACGCCCUCGGAGCACAGCAUCUACGGAGGUGUCGACGUGCCUGGAGAGCCACCCGGGCCGCCCUUCUUCGCUCAGCUGAUCGCAAUAAGCGCCUGGCGGACCGUCAUCGGACCCCCGCACCUGCC